rnacentral:sRNA from 1 species
GGAGAUUUCGCAUCUUCUAACACCUUUGCCGCUCUUGUUCCCGCGAGUAGACUCCCCAAUUUCUGCCCAGGACCUCUUGUCCCGGAUUAAACAGGAGGAGCAUCAGUGCGUGUGGGAUCAGCAGGAUUUGGCAGACAGAGAUAUUCCCACGGAUCCCAAUUCAGAGUCUCUCAUCUCAGCACAUGACAUUUUGUCAUGGAUCAAGCAGGAGGAGCAGCCAUACCCAUGGGGACCACGCGACUCAAUGGACGGAGAGCUUGGAUUAGACUCUGGCCCUAGUGACAGCCUGCUGAUGGUGAAGAACCCACCCCCGGCCCCGCCACAGCCCCAGCCCCAGCCCCAGCCACCGCAGCCGCAGCUGCAGUCGCAGCCCCAGCCCCAGAGCCUGCCCCCGAUCGCGGUGGCCGAGAACCCGGGCGGCCCCCCGAGCCGAGGGCUGCUGGACGACGGUUUCCAGGUGCUGCCCGGGGAGCGUGGCUCCGGCGAGGCGCCGCCGGGUGGGGACCGCAGCACCGGGGGCGGCGGGGGCGAUGGGGGCGGUGGGGCGGCGGCGCGGAGGCGGGGACUGGGGCAGGCGGCGGCUGUGGCAGCUGCUGCCCUGGCGGGCUGCGGCGGAGCCUCCUCCUGCACGGCGCCCGCAGCAAGCCCUACUCGUGCCCCGAGUGCGGCAAGAGCUUCGGCGUGCGCAAGAGCCUCAUCAUCCACCACCGCAGCCACACCAAGGAGCGGCCC